rnacentral:rRNA from 1 species
UACGUAGGGUGCGAGCGUUAAUCGGAAUUACUGGGCGUAAAGCGUGCGCAGGCGGUCUGUUAAGACCGAUGUGAAAUCCCCGGGCUUAACCUGGGAACUGCAUUGGUGACUGGCAGGCUUUGAGUGUGGCAGAGGGAGGUAGAAUUCCACGUGUAGCAGUGAAAUGCGUAGAGAUGUGGAGGAAUACCGAUGGCGAAGGCAGCCUCCUGGGCCAACACUGACGCUCAUGCACGAAAGCGUGGGGAGCAAACAG